GGGACAGGAGAAGAUUUUGCGAGGAUGUCCAUCUGUUUUUGAGAGCAUAAGACAGGCCCAGCGAAGAAAGCGGCAGAAAAACAAGAUGAUUUUGCAAGGACUACUUGAAGGUGACUAUCAGGAUAUAUGCCUUAG